rnacentral:rRNA from 1 species
UACGGAGGGUGCAAGCGUUAUCCGGAUUCACUGGGUUUAAAGGGUGCGUAGGAGGGCAGGUAAGUCAGUGGUGAAAUCCCCAAGCUUAACUUGGGAACUGCCGUUGAUACUAUCUGUCUUGAAUACCGUGGAGGUGAGCGGAAUAUGUCAUGUAGCGGUGAAAUGCUUAGACAUGACAUAGAACACCAAUUGCGAAGGCAGUUCGCUACACGAAUAUUGACUCUGAGGCACGAAAGCGUGGGGAUCAAACAGG